GGGAAAACUAGGUCAGGGGAAACAUGAGGGAAGAAAUAAACUAAAAGUCCAUGGUGGUGACAAUAUGCAUAUUGGAUGUUUAU